rnacentral:rRNA from 1 species
UGCAAGUCGAGCGGUAACAGGAGAAGCUUGCUUCUCGCUGACGAGCGGCGGACGGGUGAGUAAUACUUAGGAAUCUACCUAGUAGUGGGGGAUAGCUCGGGGAAACUCGAAUUAAUACCGCAUACGACCUACGGGAGAAAGGGGGCAACUUGUUGCUCUCGCUAUUAGAUGAGCCUAAGUCGGAUUAGCUAGAUGGUGGGGUAAAGGCCUACCAUGGCGACGAUCUGUAGCUGGUCUGAGAGGAUGAUCAGCCACACCGGGACUGAGACACGGCCCGGACUCCUACGGGAGGCAGCAGUGGGGAAUAUUGGACAAUGGGGGCAACCCUGAUCCAGCCAUGCCGCGUGUGUGAAGAAGGCCUUUUGGUUGUAAAGCACUUUAAGCAGUGAAGAAGACUCUAUGGUUAAUACCCAUAGACGAUGACAUUAGCUGCAGAAUAAGCACCGGCUAACUCUGUGCCAGCAGCCGCGGUAAUACAGAGGGUGCAAGCGUUAAUCGGAAUUACUGGGCGUAAAGCGAGCGUAGGUGGCUUGAUAAGUCAGAUGUGAAAGCCCCGGGCUUAACCUGGGAACGGCAUCUGAUACUGUUAGGCUAGAGUAGGUGAGAGGAAGGUAGAAUUCCAGGUGUAGCGGUGAAAUGCGUAGAGAUCUGGAGGAAUACCGAUGGCGAAGGCAGCCUUCUGGCAUCAUACUGACACUGAGGUUCGAAAGCGUGGGUAGCAAACAGGAUUAGAUACCCUGGUAGUCCACGCCGUAAACGAUGUCUACUAGUCGUUGGGUCCCUUGAGGACUUAGUGACGCAGCUAACGCAAUAAGUAGACCGCCUGGGGAGUACGGCCGCAAGGUUAAAACUCAAAUGAAUUGACGGGGGCCCGCACAAGCGGUGGAGCAUGUGGUUUAAUUCGAUGCAACGCGAAGAACCUUACCUGGUCUUGACAUAUCUAGAAUCCUGCAGAGAUGCGGGAGUGCCUUCGGGAAUUAGAAUACAGGUGCUGCAUGGCUGUCGUCAGCUCGUGUCGUGAGAUG